rnacentral:pre_miRNA from 1 species
CUCGGGGGAGGGGGUCCCACAGCCUGGAUUGCAAGAGGGCGCAAGCCAGCCUGAGGGACACCACAGGUGCACG